GGCCGCCCAAGCUGGGCCAGAUCGGUCGGAGCAAGCGGGUUGUUAUUGAAGAUGAUAGGAUUGACGACGUGCUGAAAAAUAUGACCGACAAGGCACCUCCUGGUGUCUAACUCCCCCAAAGACAAUGAGUUAAGGGAGAGGAUAAGAACGGCGGUGACAGUUACUGGCAAAAAAGCAUGAAAAGAGAAAGCACUUUGAAAUGUAUUGCUAGCUUGCUACCCACGAUGAAAUCAACAACCUGUAUCUGGUGUCAGGCCGGGAGACAGAUGAGGCAGGAGGAGGAGGAGGAGGAGGAGGAGGAGGAGGAAGAAGAGGAGGAGGGUCUGGGCUCCUCUGCAGAAAUAAAAAAAUAAAAUAAAAAAUAAAAAAAAUCACUAUUUACACACAUAUAAAGAAAUAAAAAAGUCUCAGUUGCAGCUAUUUGUCAAAAUUAAUAUCCAUUUCUUUUUAUAUAUACGGUGAAUAUUGCGCAAUUAUAGAUCUGGACUUUAAACCACUUAAUGAAGCGGCAACACCGGGUGUUUUGGGGUGUUGGCAUUCUUCUCUGAUUUGGCUAUUUCCCAAUGUUUACAUUAUUUAACCUUGCAAAAAUGGUUCUGUGCACUUGGAUGUGAAAUGCUGUCCAGUUUUAUUUUUUUUAUGUUGUUAUCCUUGGAUGUACAAAACAUUCAGAAAAUGAUCUCUGUAGAUAUUCUGUUUUAUUUUGGUCAUCUUUUGAAGUUAUCAGGAGUGCGUUUAAAACAAGAAGAUAACUUUUCUAAGGAAUGACACAUAGAAAGGAUCCUUGUUUUAUUUUAAAAUGAAUUGUAAAGCUUGUGUUUCUUUGUUGCUGCAAGCUAUUUGCCCAAGUUAAUGCAAAUGGACACAUUUUAGAUGUCAGAAAACACAUACACACACACACACACAUGAAAAACAAAGAAAAAAAUGCUUGAGCUUUUUCGAACCUCCCCCUGCAGUCUGUUGUGUGAGCAGCCUGUUUUUUUCUCUAAUAUUAUGUCAGUUUAUUCUCUUUAAUGGACUGUAAAAAAAAAUGUAAUCACAAGAGUGCCAAAUAUCUUGAAAUGCCAAAAGGCAUUUUGGUUUCUUUUCUUUUCCUUGUGCUCUGAGUCCACGUACAGGAAUGCUUGGAGUGUCUUUUCUGUUAUUUAUAGGGAUUCUCUUAAGGCACACCAGCUGCCUGUUUUGCAUGGUAUUUGCAAAAAUGCCUUUUGCGUGAGGAAAUCUUUUACCAUUUUUUGUUUGCAACUUUGGACCUUGAGAGGUUUCCCUUCCCUUCCCUGUUCCCUUUUUCUUAAUUCGGUAUUCUGUAUGUUGCACCUUGAACCAGUACACAGGGCUAUUUCUCCAAUGUACAAUAAAAGAACUGUUCCUGUGUCUCA